CAGGUUGGUUGGGCGAUCGCGGUGGCGCGUUGACGCCAUCGAGGAAAGUCCGCACUCCAUAGAGCACGGCGUCGGAUAGUCCCCGGGGCGGGGAAGCCUCCGUAAGGAGCGAACCUGCCGGACAAGGGCCACAGAAACAAACAGCCCCGCGCUUGCGCGAGGUGAUGGUGAAAAGGUGGUGUAAGAGACCACCGGCGUUUGCAGUAAUGCAGAUCGUCAGGUAACCCCCGCCGGGAGCAAGGCCAAGCAGGGACGAAGCCAUCU
rnacentral:RNase_P_RNA from 1 species